UUGUGCUUUCAUCUCAUUGAUCUUUUCUUUUAUUGUUCACUUGAUGGAUAGGUGGGCUGGGCAAGCAUUGUUUGGCACUGAUGCUGCAAAAUGGAUAUGCGUUAGUGCUAUAGACGUUACUCAGCUCUCUGUUGCCCGGUAUGUAGUAUGACUUCUAUUUCUUGUGCUUGAUCUUAUGAACUAGAUGAUCAUUAGUGAAUGUCUAUUCUGGUUGCAGUGUAUCUUGUGAUCAAAAUUUAUACAUAAAGUAAUCAAAAACAAUUUCUACUUUUUAAUCACAUAUAUGACAUCUUCUUUUCAAAUCUAUUUUUACUAUGUUUUAUUUAAAAAAAAAAAUUAAUUUUAAUACAACAAUGUUUAAUUUUUUUUUUUAAGAACCCUUCAUUAAGAAACUCCCAAUGGAGCACAAAAUCUAUAAGUUUCUUAAUUAAAUUUUUUAACUAAUUUUUAUUAUUAAACAAGUCACUAAGAAACCCAAAUGGAGUUAUAGGGAUAAUGAUGCUCUAAGUCUUUGUUCCUUUUUCUUUUUGAUUGGUUUAUACUUCCUUUUUUUUUUUUUUUUUUUAAAAGGACUUAUUUUGGCUAACUAGACAAAGAUGAUUAAUAUAUGAUGUUAAAUAUUGUAUUUGAAUCCACUAGAUUAGAACAAGUGUAUGUCAGCAAUGAUAGCGAACAAAGAUGUUGCUUAUGGUUUAUACUUGCCAACUUGAUUUUAUGGGAUUAUUUGUGUUUGAUGUGAUUGGCUAGCUUGCAUUGAACAUAUCCUGCAAGGACUUGCACACUCGAGAUAGAUAAAGAAUCCAUAUGCUAAGCCGAAAUUCUAAAGUGUCUAUAUAUGAUUGAAGGAUCUUAGAGCCUCAUGUUUACUCAAACAUUCCUCUGUUCAUACAAACAAUUUAAUACUUUCUCGACAGACAUUGAAGAUCAAUCAGCUCGGCAGCGUCGUAGUAGGGAAGAGAACAAUGAGAAGAUGCCCUUAUGUGUCCGAAUACCAGAAGAAGAUCGUUCUGCUAUAGAGAUAUGUCUCAGCAUCUAAAAACUAAGGAUCUAACUUUGACGGCUCUCAUUCCAUAAGCUUCCAAUCUCUCUCUCACUCUCUCUCUCUCUCUGAUAUUAAUCAGACCCUUAUAGGGUUAUCAUCUUUUUAAGAUUCUCGAUUUCUGUCGAGGUGUUAAUGGUCUAAAUUGAAUUUUCCUUUUUUUUUCCUUUCUUCGUUUAGUUUCAGGAAUCAGCUCCUCGCUUGAAAUCUUCAACCGUAUGACCACACUCUUUGUUGUUUUAGCUUUUCACACUCUUUGUUGUUUUAGCUUUUUCUCGCUAAAUUUGUUAACACUGAUAUUGGGUUUUAGUCGGAGUAGACUGAUAUAGCUUGAUGGUUAUUAUUAAGCCAUCACUGAUUUACAGAAGAAGCAAAUAUAUUUUACCAAAGAAUUUGGUUGCGGUAGUAGAUAUUGUGUGGAAAAGAUAGCGGAUUGGUUAGUUGGUGUUUUUUGGGGUAUAAAGGUGAAGUCUUUGCGUGUGUAAUCUGAGAUAAGGAUUGGAUGGUGGGAAAAGAGGAUGCGAUGGGAGAAUGAUGAGGAUGCUCCUGGUUUUCACUGUUUGAUGUAUCAUGUUCAUGCCUUUAUCUUGAUCGUUAUGUUUAUGUACAAUACUUUGAAACAUAUAGAGUGUGAGUAUGAUCUCAAGACAUGUAUAGAUUUUUCCAAAGUGAGUUUCACAACAUGCAGUUCUAUGAAAUAAAACCUCAUAAUGUUAUCUUA